AGUGAACGCUGGCGGUAGGCCUAACACAUGCAAGUCGAACGGCAGCACAGUAAGAGCUUGCUCUUACGGGUGGCGAGUGGCGGACGAGUGAGGAAUACAUCGGAAUCUACUUUUUCGUGGGGGAUAACGUAGGGAAACUUACGCUAAUACCGCAUACGACCUACGGGUGAAAGCAGGGGAUCUUCGGACCUUGCGCGAUUGAAUGAGCCGAUGUCGGAUUAGCUAGUUGGCGGGGUAAAGGCCCACCAAGGCGACGAUCCGUAGCUGGUCUGAGAGGAUGAUAAGCCACACUGGAACUGAGACACGGUCCAGACUCCUACGGGAGGCAGCAGUGGGGAAUAUUGGACAAUGGGCGCAAGCCUGAUCCAGCCAUACCGCGUGGGUGAAGAAGGCCUUCGGGUUGUAAAGCCCUUUUGUUGGGAAAGAAAAGCAGCAGGUUAAUACCCCGCUGUUCUGACGGUACCCAAAGAAUAAGCACCGGCUAACUUCGUG
rnacentral:rRNA from 1 species